GCGGGAAUGAGGAUUGGCUUGUCCACCGUGUUCACUGGACGGUAGGAAAAAAGAAAAGUCAGAAAAGGGAGAGCGAUGUUCAAGUUCAUGCUCAACUGUGGCUACUUCUCUGAACCCAAGAGGCCACCAGCCCCUAGCUGCCUUGGCCAUUGCUGGGGUGGGGUACCAGGCACCCCUCCAGCUUCUAUAUAUAGCACUCUGUGGCGACAGCUGGCUAUCUGAUGACUCAUCAGUCACCGUGGGCGUCUCCGGAUGGAACCCUGAACAUUUAUUCAGAGGGUGCUUUUGCCAGUUUCUGAACGACUCCUAUUGCGGUGGCUGAUUAGUGUUUUCGUAGCGUCUCUUCCAGUUCACCGCAGACCUGCUGUUCCGUGGAGUCUGGUGUUGCAAAGCUUGUUGCAAAGCUUGUGCUGAGGAACUGCGAGGGGUCUCUGGGAAUCUCUCUCAGGUUGCCGGGACCAGAGAGCCAUGUGUCUGGCUAAUGUGACCAUCCCUCAACAAGGGUACUGCUCACUGGAUUUCUCUACACAGACUCCCCUCCUGAGGAACUGACUAGGCAUGAAAGAUCUCCCCCAAGAAUUGUUUAGUGACAGCUUAAGCUAGGCUAGCCUCUCUGCCUCACUAAGCUCAGCUGAGGUCAGAGUGGUGGGGUGUGACGCCCGCAACUCCGGGCAGUUAACUCACACAAAGGGAAAACUCUCUCCCCACCUUGCCUACCUGCCUCCCUGCCUGUGGGCAAUUUUGCCAAUGUUUUCCAUUAGUCACAAAGGAGAGGGGCAGGUGGGGGCAGGGUGGUCAGUGGGGACAAUCAUUACACAGGAAGAAAACCAAAACCAUAUUACUAUCUAAGGCACUGUGCUAAGUGCUGGCAUUAGGGUUGCAUUUGGUGAAAAUCCACAUAUAACACAGAAAAAUCUAUGAACCAUCUAGAAAUCCUAACUUCUUGACCCUUGAACUCCUUCUUUAAGAAGAUCACUUGUUCAUGGAGGGCUUCCCUGACCCCUGGGCAGGCUCCUUCCCCAUUCUCUUGGCUGCUUCUGCCAGCACUUGGUGUCCUUUGCCUGAGGCUCUCUUUGGCUGCGUGAGUGGGCAGCCCUCCCUAACACCCUCAACUCUGACUGUUAGGAUUCCGUAAGUAAAUGCUCCAGCCUCCUCAUCCUUCAGGAGGGAUGAUCUGAGGUGUGUUCCACACUGUCAACCAGGGGUAUCCUGCAGGACCCAGCCCCAUUUGCCCCAACAAAUGCGGACAAAUGGGUGGGAGCCUACUUAUCAAUACGGCCUCUGACUGCCCCCCUGGCUCUCUCUCCAUGUCCUCAUUGCCCUACUGAUGCUUCCUGGAAUCACCUCCCAAAGAAACUGCUUGCACACAAAACCUUGUAUGCAAGACAUUUGCAAUCUAAAUUAAGUCUCCCUGUUCUUUCUCAGGGCACUCCCCACCCCCAGCUUAAUAGCACUCAUCAUGAUAUGUAAUUAUGCAUUUGUUUGUGUAUCUAUUUGUUUAAUGAGGGCAGAGACAAUGUCUAUUUUGUUCACCACUAAAUCCCUGCACAUCACUCAACCCAGAGCUUAACAUGUGGUAGAUGCUCAACGUAAAUUCUGUUGAAGGAAUGAAUGUAACAUCAUUAGAGCUUUCUAAUCUUUCACCCUUUGGGGUGGUUCAAAAACAUGACCCCAAAGUUUCCUGACACUCCUUCCAAUGAGAAGCGGGGUCCUUCUCUCCUUGAAUCUGGAUACGCUGGUGACAGCUUCAACUAAGAGAAUGAAAGGGCUAGGUCAUAAAAGGCCACACAGCUUCUGCCCUGAAGCCCUGAAUAGCUGUCAUGUAAGAACUCUGACUACCCUCAGCCGGCCAUGCUGAGAGGAGGCCCAAUUAAUAUGAAGGGACAACACAUAGGUGCAGAGAUCCAUAGUCCCAACUGAGCCCAGUCUCCAAGUCAUUUCAGCCUAAGUACCAGAUGUGUGAAUGAAGAAGCUUCUGGAUGAUUCCAGCCCCCAGCUCUUUUCAAGUCUUCUCAACUGAGACCCCAGACAUUGUGGAGCAGAGAGAUCCACAAUGCUUUGGCCCGUCCAAAUUCCUGACUUAUGGAAACUUCGAGCAUAAUAAAACCGUUGUUAAGCUGCUAAAUUUUGGAGUAAUUUGUUAUGCAGAAAUAAUUGGAAGACCUUGAUUGUGAGUUUAUUAAUUCUGCAUUUAUUUGAAAGUCAUUUAUCAAGUUCCUACUAUGUGCCAGGUGAUGGUUACACAGUAGCAAACAAGGGAAAGAUCCCUACCUUCCGGGAACUUACAAUCUAGGGGCUGCUGUUGUAACUGUAUCUUGCAAAAGCCUACAUGUUGCUUUUUAACAAUAAUGAGUAGGUUUUUCUGAAACCACUUCCAGAUGGUGUGGGGGGAGGGGUGCUUCCGGAGUGAGUUGCUAAGGGAAGCUCCAGGGGUAGGUGGAUUAGAUAACACAGACCCAGGGAGCUCUAUUAUUUGCUGGCUGUCAACCACCACUGUCCUGCAAAUCAUCCACAGACUAGCUGCACCCCCA
rnacentral:lncRNA from 1 species